UACGUAGGGGGCAAGCGUUGUCCGGAAUUAUUGGGCGUAAAGAGCUCGUAGGCGGUCUGUCGCGUCGGCUGUGAAAACCCGGGGCUCAACCCCGGGCCUGCAGUCGAUACGGGCAGACUAGAGUGUGGUAGGGGAGACUGGAAUUCCUGGUGUAGCGGUGAAAUGCGCAGAUAUCAGGAGGAACACCGGUGGCGAAGGCGGGUCUCUGGGACGGUACUGACGCUGAGACGCGAAAGCGUGGGGAGCGAACAGG
rnacentral:rRNA from 1 species